CGCUUAGUGAAAUAUAUUAGGUAUCGCCUGCUCAAUGCUUUUAACGUAAAUAGCCGCGGUAUUCUGACCGUGCUAAGGUAGCAUAAUCAUUAGUCUUUUAAUUGAAGGCUCGUAUGAACGGCGCGACGAGAAGAUAGCUGUCUCUUUUAUAAAUUUUGAAUUUCAUCUUUAAGUGAAAAAGCUUAAAUAGAUUUAAAGGACGAUCAGACCCUAUAGAGCUUUUUUGUUGGGGCGACAAAGAGUACCUAAAGAACACUCUUUUUAAAUAAACAUCUAUGAAUGAAUAAUUGAUCCUCAAGGAGAGAUUAAAAGACUAAGUUACCUUAGGGAUAACAGCGUAAUUUAUUUGGAGAGUUCUUAUCGAUAAAUAAGUUUGCGACCUCGAUGUUGGAUUAAGAAAUUGGUGAGGUGCAGCAGUCUCAUUAAAUAGUCUGUUCGACUAUUAAAUUCUUACA
rnacentral:rRNA from 1 species